AUGGAAAUACAAGACCAAAGCAACUCUCAUGAUCCGAACUGUACUGAGUGCAGUGGCCAAAGCAAGGUAAUAUCACAUGUGCUAACAAUGGAAAUGGGCAGAGUGCAGACAAAACACUGGAAAAGAAGCUGGCAUAAGGCAUGGAAUGGAAAGCACAGAAGACAUGGUUUCAAGAAGAUGACUGGAAAACUGCCCGAAUCAUUGUAUUUACAUGGUGAUUUUACAUGGCAGUUCCUGUGUGAUGUUAAUGAUUUCCUUCAAAACGUCUGUCUCAGAUACUGUCACUAUGUGAAAUUGUUGUUUUUUGUAUUAAACUUUCACCCAUGACUGAAAUGAAAAUUUAUAUAUAUAUUUUCUAUUCUGAACAAGUUCAUAAUUUCUUGAAUAUGCCCAGGGAUUUGAGCUCAGUUUCAUGGAUAGCUUUACUGCUGUAAUCUCUGGAUUUGUAAAUGAUUAGCUGUCAUAACAUGGUUCUUAAUUUUUCAGUGAAAUGUAACAGAAAAUUGAAAGUUUCUUUAUGGAAAAAGAAAUAUAUAUUGCUUGCCUUAGAAACAAGCCAGAUUUAU
rnacentral:lncRNA from 1 species